CCGAAGACCGGGAUAACUCACCGAAAGGUGAGCUAAUACCGGAUGCCUUCACGACAGUCUCAUGGCGAUGUGAAGAAAUGGAUUCCGCUUCGGGAGGGUCUCCGGCCAUAUCAGCUUGUUUGUUAAGUUAUCGGUCUCACCAAGGCUAUGUCGGUUAGCUGUUCUGAGAGGAAGAUCAGCCACACUGGGACUGAGACACGUCCCAGACUCCUACGGGAAGGCAGCAAGUUGGGGAAUCUUGCUCAAUGGCCGAAAGCCUGACGCAGCGAUGCCGCGUUCGGGAAGACGGCCUUCGGGUUGUAAACCGCUUUCAGCAGGGACGAAAUUGACGGUACCUGCAGAAGAAGCUCCGGCCAACUACGUGCCAGCAGCCUCGGUAAGACGUAGGGGGCGAGCGUUGUCCGGAAUUAUUGGGCGUAAAGGGCUCCUAGGCGGUUCAGUAAGUCGACUGUGAAAAUCCAAGGCUCAACCUUGGGACGCCAGUCGAUACUGCUGUGACUCGAGUUCGGUAGAGGAGUGUGGAAUUCCUGGUGUAGCGGUGAAAUGCGCA
rnacentral:rRNA from 1 species